GACGAACGCUGGCGGCGUGCUUAACACAUGCAAGUCGUACGGUAAGGCCCUUUCGGGGGUACACGAGUGGCGAACGGGUGAGUAACACGUGAGUAACCUUCCCACACCUUUGGGAUAACGCUAGGAAACUGGUGCUAAUACUGGAUAUGUGCUCCUGCUGCAUGGUGGGGGUUGGAAAGCUCCGGCGGUUGUGGAUGGACUCGCGGCCUAUCAGCUUGUUGGUGGGGUAGUGGCCUACCAAGGCGGCGACGGGUAGCCGGCCUGAGAGGGUGACGGGCCACAUUGGGACUGAGAUACGGCCCAGACUCCUACGGGAGGCAGCAGUGGGGAAGAUUGCACAAUGGGCGCAAGCCUGAUGCAGCAGCGCCGCGGGCGGGAUGACGGCCUUCGGGUUGUAAACCGCUGUCAGCAGGGACGAAGCUUUUUGUGACGGUACCUGCAGAAGAAGCACCGGCUAACUACGUG
rnacentral:rRNA from 1 species